rnacentral:rRNA from 1 species
GAUCAACGCUGGCGGCGUGCCUAAUACAUGCAAGUCGAGCGAACGGACGAGAAGCUUGCUUCUCUGAUGUUAGCGGCGGACGGGUGAGUAACACGUGGAUAACCUACCUAUAAGACUGGGAUAACUUCGGGAAACCGGAGCUAAUACCGGAUAAUAUUUUGAACCGCAUGGUUCAAAAGUGAAAGACGGUCUUGCUGUCACUUAUAGAUGGAUCCGCGCUGCAUUAGCUAGUUGGUAAGGUAACGGCUUACCAAGGCAACGAUGCAUAGCCGACCUGAGAGGGUGAUCGGCCACACUGGAACUGAGACACGGUCCAGACUCCUACGGGAGGCAGCAGUAGGGAAUCUUCCGCAAUGGGCGAAAGCCUCACGGAGCAACGCCGCGUGAGUGAUGAAGGUCUUCGGAUCGUAAAACUCUGUUAUUAGGGAAGAACAUAUGUGUAAGUAACUGUGAACAUCUUGACGGUACCUAAUCAGAAAGCCACGGCUAACUACGUG